rnacentral:tRNA from 1 species
GGCGCCUUGGCCGAGUGGUUAGGCAGAGCUCUGCAAAAGCUCGUACACCGGUUCAAAUCCGGUAGGUGCCUCCA